AGUGAACGCUGGCGGUAGGCCUAACACAUGCAAGUCGAACGGCAGCACAGUAAGAGCUUGCUCUUACGGGUGGCGAGUGGCGGACGGGUGAGGAAUACAUCGGAAUCUACUUUUUCGUGGGGGAUAACGUAGGGAAACUUACGCUAAUACCGCAUACGACCUACGGGUGAAAGCAGGGGAUCUUCGGACCUUGCGCGAUUGAAUGAGCCGAUGUCGGAUUAGCUAGUUGGCGGGGUAAAGGCCCACCAAGGCGACGAUCCGUAGCUGGUCUGAGAGGAUGAUCAGCCACACUGGAACUGAGAGACGGUCCAGACUCCUACGGGAGGCAGCAGUGGGGAAUAUUGGACAAAGGGCGCAAGCCUGAUCCAGCCAUACCGCGUGGGUGAAGAAGGCCUUCGGGUUGUAAAGCCCUUUUGUUGGGAAAGAAAAGCAGCAGGUUAAUACCCCGCUGUUCUGACGGUACCCAAAGAAUAAGCACCGGCUAACUUCGUG
rnacentral:rRNA from 1 species